UAGAGAUAGAAAGGCUAACAUUGUAAUUAUUGCUGUUUCACUAGCAACAUUAUAAUGUAUUAUACACGAGCAAAGAGUGAAAUUAAUACUGUUUCUCCUUAGCAAAUGGAGAUAUUUAUUUGUCAUUAUCUGUGACUCAGUUUCCUGUAGUGCAGACCAGAUGGUGUGGCUAAAACAGUCAUGCUGGGAAUAUGGUUAGUAUCUGCCUAGUAUGGUAAACAGAGUACAUGAACAGGAAAUUGUGUGUACUGGCUGAUUAAGGGAUGGAUGUCCUGGCAUCACACGUGUUCCUCUCUGGUCUGCCUGCUGGUGUGGGUUGGAUAUAAUCAAGCUCUGGAACUUCUCACAGCUCAUGGACAAGCAUGUGCAUAACAAUUGUACGAAUACUCUGAGGAGCACUGACGACAGAUGGACAACGAGCUUGGGCUUUAGCUGUGCUGUGGAUCGUGGACACAUCCAACCCCCAAACAGACCACCUCAAAGGUUUAGUAUCUUCCCAAAAUUUAUAGUUCCCUUCUAUGGAUUCCAUAUGUAAUAUGUUCUUCAUUAUGGCCUUAGAUUCUUUCCGAGUUGCAAGUAGACAGAUAGUCUGCACACAACUGGCCUAUGGGGUAUUGUUCCAAAUUCUUUCACUCCUUCCAAGGGACCAAUCAUCUAUGCUGCAGACUCACAGUGUGAAAAGAUAGAAACAGAAAUCAGAAUACUGUCUUUUAUUAGCAGGGUCUGGAUGAACACAGGCUCUUUCCCCCGGACAGAAAUGUCAAGAGUGAAUGGUCAAAGCAUUUUUU
rnacentral:lncRNA from 1 species